ACCAAAUAUUCAAGUAAACCAUUUGCAAGAUAUAUCUUAAAGACGCCAAUAAUCAUAACACAAAGACCGAUUUUUCUCCGUUUUGUUGUUGUAAAUAGUGCUAUGAAAUCUAGGAAUAAGAGUGUUCCUUGGUACAUUAUAGCUAUANCAAACCAAUACUUGUCAUGCCAACUUUGAAUCACACCAUUCAGAAUGUAUUUUUGGUUCUACUAAUCGUGUCUGGUGCUAUAACGUUGUGGCAAAUGUCUUCCAAAGGACAGAUUUCAUUUAUUCACUGGCAAACUCAUAUUUCAAGUGAAACAGAGGAGGACAGAGUAAUACGACAAGAAGAUAUGCCAGAAAAACCAACUUCUACAAAGUGUUCUCCCAUAAACAAAGUUCUCUUUCUUAAGACUCACAAAACCGGAAGCAGUACCGUUACUAACAUUAUCAAUCGCUAUGGCAUCAAAAAGGACUUGACUUUUGCUCUACCAAAAAACAAAAUAUCAUUUGGCUGGCCUAAACGGUUGAAAAUAGAAACAGUUGUACCGACGUAUCACAAACCAGAUCUUUUAUGCAACCAUGCGAGAUACAAUAGACUUUCCAUGCAUUUUCUUUUCCCAAAGGAAACCACCGCGUAUAUAACAAUCUUACGCGAUCCUGUGGCACAAUACGAAUCGGUUUUCAAUUACAUGAAGUUAUGGGAAGGGCUGAAUAUCCCAGGAUCGGACAGUAUGGAAAUACUGGAAAAAUAUCUUCAAAAUGUAUCGACAUUUCGUUCGGCAAGGAUGGAUAGCAAGUUGGCUUCUUGUCUGUUGAGAAAUCCCAUGUUCUUUGAUCUUGGUCUUGAUUUUGUAUACUUCCAAGAUAUGUCCGCUGUUUGGAAAUAUAUACAGUUUCUUGAGUCCGAAUUUACUCUGGUAAUGAUCAUGGAACAUUUUGAUGAAUCGGUCGUUUUGUUGAAAAGACUUCUGUGUUGGGAGUUAGAAGAUGUUGUAUACUUAAAGCAGAAUGAAAGACAGAACAAAGACAAGCGAAAUGUUUCAGAAAAACUCAAACGAAAUAUUCGAAGCUGGAACCAGGCAGAUGGAAUGCUUUAUCAAGCUUUUAAUAAAACUCUAUGGAAAAAGAUAGCCGCUCAGGGACCUGGAUUCUACGAAGAUUUGGCGCGCUUUCGCAAGCUUCAGAAAGAGUUGUUUGAGAAAUGCGUCAAGUCCUCAGCACCAGCCAAGGCAUAUUCAGGAAAAUAUGUGAAAGGAUAUAAACUGAAGGAUAACCUGCCUCCUGUGACCAAAAAAUAUUGUAGUGAUAUGAUCAAAAAUGAACUUUCCUUUAUGACAGACAAUAUGGAACGACAAAAGCAGAUGCUGAAUGUUUACAAUGAUCAAGGAGAUUUUAGUUACUUGUAUGAUUUGGAUAAUAACUGGGAUAGUGGAAAGGACUUUCUCCAUCAUCCAGAGCAGUGAGAAGCCAGCACCAAGCAUCAACCACAGGUAGCCCAAGGGCUGCAUAUACGAAUAUGAAAAAAAUGAGGGCUUCAUGUGGACAUCAAUGAACCACAGUUAGCCAAGAGAGGCUGAUAAGGCAUGCGAACAAAUCAUCUUUGGGAAGUAUCUAGACCACAGUUUGAUCCACGGUAACAUCUUCAAGGCCAAGAAUGCAAAGAGUGCCUCUUCUUUGGUGAGAAGAGAGCGGGAAACUUUGACUUUCGACAAAAGGUACACGCGUCUGCCGGAACUACCGAAAAUAUUUCCACACUAAACCCAAUUUUCACAAAGCUGUAUUUUUGGUCAGCGUUCGUGAAAUUCCCAGUCACUUAAAGCUAACUCAUUUUCCCUAUAUGGUCUUUAAGGAGUUUGAAUCGCGCGCAAUUUUAUUUUUUCCAAUUUCCGAUUUUUCUCUAUUUUCUUGCGUUGAAAACUUUGAUUUUAAUAAAAUAGACAUAAGU
rnacentral:misc_RNA from 1 species